rnacentral:snRNA from 1 species
AUACUUACCUGGCAGAAGAAAAGAUACUGUCAUCACAAAGGUGGUUUGCCCAAUGUGAGGCUUAUCUGCUGUGGAUGUGCUGGCCCCAGUGAUUUUCCCAUCGUGGGAAAAUCGACUACAUAAUUUAUGGAAGUGGGUACUUAAUGGAACCGU